GACGAUAUCGCCGCCACUCAUCUUUCUUGCUCACGAUGGAAGGGCUGUGAAGACAAACCAGGAUCGGCUUUCUCAGACCCAACCCAACGAAAUAUGAAUCAACUUUCCCAGCACAGACCAGGUCAGACCAAUUAAGGAUGGCGGAUUUCAUUUCCUGAAGGACAUUACUGAACCAAUGGAAUUUUUCCGCUACUGAAAGUGGUUACAUUUUGUUUAUUCAUUCACGGGAUGAGGGCGUUGCUGGCGAGUGAAGAUUUUUUGCCCAUCCCUAAUUGCCCAGAGGGCAGUUCAGAGUCAACCACAUUGCUGUGGGUCUGGAGUCACAGGUAGGCUGGACCAGUGAGCUAAAAGAUCUGGAAAGGAACAGCACCCCACUCCAAGUUCCAUUAAAGGCAAGACUGGAAUUUGUUAUUUUUCUUCAGUUUAUUGGAAUGUAAUUUCAUUAACAGAGUAAAUCUGAAAACAUUAAUUUACUGCAUAUAUGUAAUAAUUCAUAGUUAUUUAACUCUGCCUGUUUGUGUAAUUUUAGUUGCAGAAUGAUUGCUGUGCUUCCCCACAAAAUAGUCACUUGAACUGAAAAGUAGUAAUUUUAGUAUGUCAUCUGCUAAACAUUCAUACACUUGUUAUUUAUUUAAAUUAUUAUUUAAAAUGCAGCAAAUUUAGGGGAAAAAGGAAAUUGCUUUUCUAUGUUCAAAUUUAGAUCAUCUUGUAGUUUUGUCAAAUGACAAUGUUAACCUGAUUCUUUCUCCAUACAAAUGCUGCUGAAUCAGUUCUGUUUUUCUCUGAUCUGUUUGUUUUAUAAUUUUGUCUAGUACAUUUUGAAAAAGCAGUGAAAAACAGCAAACAGUUUUAAAAACAAAAUCAAGGAUGCAAUAUGGUUAUUUGGCCAAUCAAGUUCAUCUGUCAAAGCUGUUCCUACAAUUUCAA